rnacentral:rRNA from 1 species
AGUGAACGCUGGCGGCGUGCCUAAUACAUGCAAGUCGAACGGAGUGGCGAACGGGUGAGUAAUGUAUCGCUAAUCUGCCCGACACUAGAGGACAACAGUUGGAAACGGCUGCUAAUACUCUAUAGUGUAGGAUGAGGCUAUAUUGUAUCAGCUAGUUGGUGAGGUAAUGGUUCACCAAGGCUAUGACGCAUAACUGGUCUGAGUGGAUGAGCAGUCGAACUGGAACUGAGGCAGCAUCCAGACUCCUACGGGAGGCAGCAGUAGGGAAUAUUGCUCAGUGCGGGAAACCCUGAAGCGGCAACGCCGCGUAAAGGAUGACACUUUUCGGGGCAGAAACUCAUUUUAUUAGGGAACCGGUACCUAACGAAUAAGCACCGGCUAACUCCGUGCCAGCAGCCGCGGUAAUAC